UGACGGUAUUACUUUAGAAAGUCACGGCUAACUACGUGCCAGCAGCCGCGGUAAUACGUAGGUGGCAAGCGUUGUCCGGAUUUAUUGGGCGUAAAGCGAGUGCAGGCGGUUCAAUAAGUCUGAUGUGAAAGCCUUCGGCUCAACCGGAGAAUUGCAUCAGAAACUGUUGAACUUGAGUGCAGAAGAGGAGAGUGGAACUCCAUGUGUAGCGGUGGAAUGCGUAGAUAUAUGGAAGAACACCAGUGGCGAAGGCGGCUCUCUGGUCUGCAACUGACGCUGAGGCUCGAAAGCAUGGGUAGCGAACAGGAUUAGAUACCCUGGUAUUCCAUGCCGUAAACGAUGAGUGCUAAGUGUUGGGAGGUUUCCGCCUCUCAGUGCUGCAGCUAACCGCAUUAAGCACUCCGCCUGGGGAGUACGACCGCAAGGUUGAAACUCAAAGGAAUUGACGGGGGCCCGCACAAGCGGUGGAGCAUGUGGUUUAAUUCGAAGCAACGCGAAGAACCUUACC
rnacentral:rRNA from 1 species